rnacentral:rRNA from 1 species
AGUGAACGCUGGCGGUAGGCCUAACACAUGCAAGUCGAACGGCAGCACAGUAAGAGCUUGCUCUUACGGGUGGCGAGUGGCGGACGGGUGAGGAAUACAUCGGAAUCUACUUUUUCGUGGGGGAUAACGUAGGGAAACUUACGCUAAUACCGCAUACGACCUACGGGUGAAAGCAGGGGAUCUUCGGACCUUGCGCGAUUGAAUGAGCCGAUGUCGGAUUAGCUAGUUGGCGGGGUAAAGGCCCACCAAGGCGACGAUCCGUAGCUGGUCUGAGAGGAUGGUCAGCCACACUGGAACUGAGACACGGUCCAGACUCCUACGGGAGGCAGCAGUGGGGAAUAUUGGACAAUGGGCGCAAGCCUGAUCCAGCCAUACCGCGUGGGUGAAGAAGGCCUUCGGGUUGUAAAGCCCUUUUGUUGGGAAAGAAAAGCAGCAGGUUAAUACCCCGCUGUUCUGACGGUGCCCAAAGAAUAAGCACCGGCUAACUUCGUG